ACCUGCGGCUGCUUACACAUGCAGUCGAACGGCAGCACGGGAGCAUCCUGGUGGCGAGUGGCGAACGGGUGAGUAAUGUAUCGGAACGUGCCCAGUCGUGGGGGAUAACGCAGCGAAAGCUGUGCUAAUACCGCAUACGAUCUAUGGAUGAAAGCGGGGGAUCGCAAAGACCUCGCGCGAUUGGAGCGGCCGAUAUCAGAUUAGUAGUUGGUGGGGUAAAGGCCCACCAAGCCGACGAUCUGUAGCUGGUCUGAGAGGACGACCAGCCACACUGGGACUGAGACACGGCCCAGACUCCUACGGGAGGCAGCAGUGGGGAAUUUUGGACAAUGGGCGCAAGCCUGAUCCAGCAAUGCCGCGUGCAGGAUGAAGGCCUUCGGGUUGUAAACUGCUUUUGUACGGAGCGAAACGGCUUCCACUAAUACUGGGGGCUAAUGACGGUACCGUAAGAAUAAGCACCGGCUAACUACGUGCCAGCAGCCGCGGUAAUACGUAGGGUGCGAGCGUUAAUCGGAAUUACUGGGCGUAAAGCGUGCGCAGGCGGUUAUGUAAGACAGAUGUGAAAUCCCCGGG
rnacentral:rRNA from 1 species